UACGUAGGGGGCAAGCGUUGUCCGGAUUUAUUGGGCGUAAAGAGCGUGUAGGCGGCCAUACAGGUCCGUUGUGAAAACUGGAGGCUUAACCUCCAGACGUCGAUGGAAACCGUAUGGCUAGAGUCCGGAAGAGGAGAGUGGAAUUCCUGGUGUAGCGGUGAAAUGCGCAGAUAUCAGGAAGAACACCCGUGGCUAAGGCGGCCUUCUGGACAGUGACUGACGCUGAGACGCGAAAGCGUGGGGAGCAAACAGG
rnacentral:rRNA from 1 species